rnacentral:rRNA from 1 species
UACAGAGGGGGCAAGCGUUGUUCGGAAUUACUGGGCGUAAAGGGCGCGUAGGCGGCCUUCUAAGUCGAACGUGAAAUCCCCGGGCUCAACCCGGGAACUGCGUCCGAUACUGGAAGGCUUGAAUCCGGGAGAGGGAUGCGGAAUUCCAGGUGUAGCGGUGAAAUGCGUAGAUAUCUGGAGGAACACCGGUGGCGAAGGCGGCA